GAUGGAGGGGGAUAACUACUGGAAACGGUAGCUAAUACCGCAUAACGUCGCAAGACCAAAGAGGGGGACCUUCGGGCCUCUUGCCAUCGGAUGUGCCCAGAUGGGAUUAGCUAGUAGGUGGGGUAACGGCUCACCUAGGCGACGAUCCCUAGCUGGUCUGAGAGGAUGACCAGCCACACUGGAACUGAGACACGGUCCAGACUCCUACGGGAGGCAGCAGUGGGGAAUAUUGCACAAUGGGCGCAAGCCUGAUGCAGCCAUGCCGCGUGUAUGAAGAAGGCCUUCGGGUUGUAAAGUACUUUCAGCGGGGAGGAAGGCGAUAAGGUUAAUAACCUUGUCGAUUGACGUUACCCGCAGAAGAAGCACCGGCUAACUACGUGCCAGCAGCCGCGGUGAUACGGAGGGUGCAAGCGUUAAUCGGAAUUACUGGGCGUAAAGCGCACGCAGGCGGUCUGUCAAGUCGGAUGUGAAAUCCCCGGGCUCAACCUGGGAACUGCAUUCGAAACUGGCAGGCUAGAGUCUUGUAGAGGGGGGUAGAAUUCCAGGUGUAGCGGUGAAAUGCGUAGAGAUCUGGAGGAAUACCGGUGGCGAGGCGGCCCCCUGGACAAAGACUGACGCUCAGGUGCGAAAGCGUGGGGAGCAAACAGGAUUAGAUACCCUGGUAGUCCACGCCGUAAACGAUGUCGACUUGGAGGUUGUGCCCUUGAGGCGUGGCUUCCGGAGCUAACGCGUUAAGUCGACCGCCUGGGGAGUACGGCCGCAAGGUUAAAACUCAAACGAAUUGACGGGGGCCCGCACAAGCGGUGGAGCAUGUGGUUUAAUUCGAUGCAACGCGAAGAACCUUACCUACUCUUGACAUCCAGAGAACUUAGCAGAGAUGCU
rnacentral:rRNA from 1 species